rnacentral:rRNA from 1 species
UGGGGGAUAUGGCACAAUGGGCGCAAGCCUGAUGCAGCGACGCCGCGUGGGGGAUGUAGGCCUUCGGGUUGUAAACUUCUUUUGCUCUGAACAAGGCGCACUUUGGGGUGUGUUGAGUGUAGGGGUUGAUUAGCGCCGGCUAACUACGUGCCAGCAGCCGCGGUAAUACGUAGGGCGCGAGCGUUGUCCGGAAUUAUUGGGCGUAAAGGGCUUGUAGGUGGCUGGUUGCGUCUGUCGUGAAAGCUCAUGGCUUAACUGUGGGUUUGCGGUGGGUACGGGCUGGCUUGAGUGCAGUAGGGGAGGCUGGAAUUCCUGGUGUAGCGGUGGAAUGCGCAGAUAUCAGGAGGAAUACCGGUGGCGAAGGCGGGUCUCUGGGCUGUUACUGACACUGAGGAGCGAAAGCAUGGGGAGCGAACAGG